rnacentral:lncRNA from 1 species
CUGUGCUCGCUCCCCACCCUGUCAUCCACAUGGUGCUCUGUCGGGGGCCUGGGGCAUGCUGCCCUCCAGGGUGGUGCUGCCAGGUGCAGCCAGGGAGCCUCCCUCCAGCCUUGGACAGCAUGUGGCCGUGGGAGCUCUGGGUUGGGCCUGGGGUGACCUGGGGGUGAGGCAGGCAGAGCUGGUCCAGCCCCCACCCAGCACCGUUCACAGGUUCAUAACAACUCAAGCAUUUUGGCACAGCUGGAGCCACUUCUCCUGGCCCUGCCAAGGACACCAGCCAAGCUCCAGGCGCCACGUUGGCAGACCAGGGCCUCUUUGGCUCCCACAUGCCUGGGCUGCGAGGAUGGCCCAAACCUCCCCACCGCAGGGACCUGUUCCUCUGGUUCCUGCUUCCCCAGCCCCUGGCGCUUGGCUCUGCACUGGGGCCUUCCACUGCAAGGCCUCUCCCCUGAGUCACACCAGGGCAGGCUGUCC